rnacentral:ncRNA from 1 species
AGGGUAGCAACCUUAAUUCUUGGUGAAGGCAAACCACGGGUACGUAUUAAUACGUAUAGCUAUCCACAUAUUAUUCAUGUUUGCACCAUGAUAAUAUGGAUAGGGCAUUGAUGUUAGCAUCAUUAAUGCAAAAUUGCGUUUUCAUGCAUGUCGCGAAAUGCAAGGAAAUACAGCGAUUAGAUUCGGACAGGAGGAAGUACACAAAUGUUUGAACCCUUUUAACAAAUCCCGUACUUGGGGGUACGGUAGUGCAAAUACCGCACUUAUAAUUUAAUGCUACAAUAGUAGCUGUUGGG